rnacentral:rRNA from 1 species
GAUGAACGCUGGCGGCGUGCCUAAUACAUGCAAGUCGAGCGAACAGACGAGGAUCUUGCUCCUCUGACGUUAGCGGCGGACGGGUGAGUAACACGUGGAUAACCUACCUAUAAGACUGGGAUAACUUCGGGAAACCGGAGCUAAUACCGGAUAAUAUAUUUAACCGCAUGGUUCAAUAGUGAAAGACGGUUUUGCUGUCACUUAUAGAUGGAUCCGCGCCGCAUUAGCUAGUUGGUAAGGUAACGGCUUACCAAGGCAACGAUGCGUAGCCGACCUGAGAGGGUGAUCGGCCACACUGGAACUGAGACACGGUCCAGACUCCUACGGGAGGCAGCAGUAGGGAAUCUUCCGCAAUGGGCGAAAGCCUGACGGAGCAACGCCGCGUGAGUGAUGAAGGUCUUCGGAUCGUAAAACUCUGUUAUUAGUGAAGAACAAAUGUGUAAGUAACUAUGCACGUCUUGACGGUACCUAAUCAGAAAGCCACGGCUAACUACGUG